UAUCUCUGUAGAGUCUGCAUAUCAAUAAGCGGAGGAAAAGAAACUAACAAGGAUUCCCCUAGUAACGGCGAGUGGAGCGGGAAGAGCUCAAAUUUGAAAUCUUAAAGGGUUUCCCUUUACGAAUUGUAGUUUAAAGAAGUGUUUUCUGUUGAGGUUUUGGUAAAAGUUCUUUGGAAUAGGACAUCAUAGAGGGUGAGAAUCCCGUAUUUGACCUUUACUUUCAACUUUGUGAAACACUUUCAAAGAGUCGGAUUGUUUGGGAAUGCAGUCCAAAAUGGGUGGUAAAUUUCAUCUAAAGCUAAAUAUUGGCGAGAGACCGAUAGCGAACAAGUACCGUGAGGGAAAGAUGAAAAGAACUUUGAAAAGAGAGUUAAACAGUACGUGAAAUUGUCAAAAGGGAAGCGUUUGACACCAGUGUUGUUUUUCUGAAAAUCAAUUAAAGAACUGUUUAUGCUAAGCUGUUUAGACUUUAUCAGUUAUCUGUUUAGUUUUGAGCUUUUCUUUAAUGCACUUUUCAGUUAACAAGUCAACAUCAAUUUCUUUUGCUGUAAAAAAGCUUGAGGAAGGUGGCUUGAGAUUCGUCUUAAGUGUUUAUAGCCUCUUGCCUAUGCAGUCGGAGAGAUUGAGGUCUGCAGCGUAGAUCCUUCGGGGCUAAAUGCAUUUGUGCUAAGUUAUAGCAUUUUAUAGACAACUUGUUGACUAUGAUCAGUCAUGUAGCUUACUCGCUUAUGCUAUUUUACCUACGCUUAGGAUGUUGACGAUCAGCUGAGCGCG
rnacentral:rRNA from 1 species